rnacentral:rRNA from 1 species
GGGGAAUAUUGGGCAAUGGACGCAAGUCUGACCCAGCAACGCCGCGUGAAGGAAGAAGGCUUUCGGGUUGUAAACUUCUUUUAAGGGGGAAGAGUAGAAGACGGUACCCCUUGAAUAAGCCACGGCUAACUACGUGCCAGCAGCCGCGGUAAUACGUAGGGAGCAAGCGUUGUCCGGAUUUACUGGGUGUAAAGGGUGCGUAGGCGGCCCUGCAAGUCAGGCGUGAAAGGCGGAGGCUUAACCUCCGAGCUGCGUUUGAAACUGUGGGGCUUGAGUGGAGCAGAGGCAGGCGGAAUUCCCGGUGUAGCGGUGAAAUGCGUAGAGAUCGGGAGGAACACCAGUGGCGAAGGCGGCCUGCUGGGCUUUAACUGACGCUGAAGCACGAAAGCAUGGGUAGCAAACA